rnacentral:rRNA from 1 species
AUUGAACGCUGGCGGCAGGCCUAACACAUGCAAGUCGAGCGGAUGAAGGGAGCUUGCUCCUGGAUUCAGCGGCGGACGGGUGAGUAAUGCCUAGGAAUCUGCCUGGUAGUGGGGGAUAACGUCCGGAAACGGGCGCUAAUACCGCAUACGUCCUGAGGGAGAAAGUGGGGGAUCUUCGGACCUCACGCUAUCAGAUGAGCCUAGGUCGGAUUAGCUAGUUGGUGGGGUAAAGGCCUACCAAGGCGACGAUCCGUAACUGGUCUGAGAGGAUGAUCAGUCACACUGGAACUGAGACACGGUCCAGACUCCUACGGGAGGCAGCAGUGGGGAAUAUUGGACAAUGGGCGAAAGCCUGAUCCAGCCAUGCCGCGUGUGUGAAGAAGGUCUUCGGAUCGUAAAGCACUGUAAGUUGGGAGGAAGGGCAGUAAGUGAAUACCUUGCUGUUUUGACGGUACCAACAGAGUAAGCACCGGCUAACUUCGUG